AAAGUCGUAACAAGGUUUCCGUAGGUGAACCUGCGGAAGGAUCAUUAACACGUAUCCACGUAUCAACCCCUGCUCUAGUGCAUCGUCUGCGCCGUCUGGUGAUACCCAGACUUUACACGCGGUUCUCCCUCGGGGGAACCAAGAGCUUCACAAAUCACCACUUUUAACAACCAACCCAACUUUUUGUCUAUGACAUUGUACUGAACAAAUAUUCAUUGCCCGGACUGUCACAGGUUCUUGCUCUGAGUAAAAUACGUAACUACGAACAACUCUUAACAACGGAUAUCUUGGCUCUC
rnacentral:misc_RNA from 1 species